AUUGAACGCUGGCGGCAGGCCUAACACAUGCAAGUCGACCGAGUGGCGGACGGGUGAGUAAUGUCUGGGAAACUGCCUGAUGGAGGGGGGUAACUACUGGAAACGGUAGCUAAUACCGCAUACCAUCGGAUGUGCCCAGAUGGGAUUAGCUAGUAGGUGGGGUAACGGCUCCCCUGGCCGACGCUCCCUAGCGGGUCUGAGAGGAUGAACAGCAAAACUGGAACUGAGACACGUUCCAGACUCCUACGGGAGGCAGCAGUGGGAAAUAUUGCAAAAUGGGCGCAAGCCUGAUGCAGCCAUGCCGCGUGUAUGAAGAGGGCCUUCGGGUUGUAAAGUACUUUCAGCGGGGAGGCGUUACCCGCAGAAGAAGCACCGGCUAACUCCGUGCCAGCAGCCGCGGUAAUAC
rnacentral:rRNA from 1 species